GCCCCACGCCCGGAGUUGUCUUUCCUCUGGGCCCCGGGUCCCCUGCCACACCGCCCCUUCCGGCCCCGCGGCGGGAAGACGCCAGGCAAGGCCGGCCUCCGGCUGCUGAGCUCGGCGGGGAAGGGACUGAGGCUGCACACCCCGAAGAGUGGCUGUGGGACGAUUCCGCACAGCCCCGACGGGAGCAGGUUUCGCGCCACACUCACCCAGUGCGCGGCGCACAAUGGCGACCGUCGGCCCGCGGCGAAAUGCGUCAGCGCGUCGGCCUGGACUACAACUCCCAGCCACCCCUGCGGCGAGCCCGCCCGACCUCGCCCAGGCGGCGGCCAUCUUGGCUGGCCGUGUCGGUGGGCCGGCGAAGCCCGGGCCGCCCCGAAGAGAGCAUUUCAGAUUGUUUCAUGUGAAGGGGAACCCAUGUUUAAAAGUCACAAAGAAGAAAGGCACAUCUCUUUGUCUUUAAAACACAGGCCUGGGCGCCUGGGUGGCUCAGUCGUUAAGCAUCUGCCUUCGGCUCAGGUCAUGAUCCCCGGGUCCUGGGAUCGAGCCCCACAUCGGGCUCCCUGCUCACUCUGCGGGAAGACUGCUUCUCCCUCUCCCACUCCGCCUGCUUGUGUUCCCUCUCUCACUAUGUCUCUAUCUGUCAAAUAAAUAAAAUCUUUAAAAAAAGAAAAAGUUUAAAACAACAACAACAACAACACAGGCUUCUAGGACACGUCUCAGAACUCCUCAGACCUUUAGAACUUGAAGUUGGAGAAGCAGGAAUAAAUCAGCAUUUUACCUAUAAAUUAUUACUAUAUAAAUAGUAAUACUAUGUAAAUAAAUAUACAUAAAAUAUCUGGGAUUAAUUUGUUGGGAAAUUCAGGGGACCUACAUGAAAAGUUUCUGGAAAGAGUUACAAGUAAACUUGCAUAAAUAAAAAUGCUUAUCAUGUUCCAGGAUGGGAAGUCCAAUUGUAAAUCCCAAAUGAUCACUAGGCUCAGUUCAAGAGGAAACAGGAUUAUAGCAGGGCCCUUUGGGAUUCUGGACCUUGGACUUUACUCUGUAUUUCCUUCUUCCUCAAAGUGUGAGGAAAGGAACUGACUAGUUUUUCACAAGAACAGUCAAGAUUGGUGCGCAUGGGUGGUACAGUGAGUUAAGCGUCCAACUCUUGGUUUCUGCUCAGGUCGUGAUCUCAGGGUCAUGGGAUCAAGCCCUGUGUCGAGCCCCGAGUUGGGCUCCAAGCUCAGAGUGGAGUCUGCUUAAGACUCUCCCUUUCCCUCUGCCCCUCCCCACCCACUCUCUCUCAAAUAAAUAAAUCUUAAAAAAAAAAGAACAACAAUCAAGAUGGAUUCAAACUCAUCUUAAGAAGAAAUGGUCCCAGAAACUACUACUUCAAAAAUGUCCCUUGUUUUUUUGCCAAUAAAUUUAGACUUCAUCCAUAGCAUACAGUUGUAAUCAGAACAUUCUUUUAUGGUGGUGGUGGGAGACUCAUUUUGUGGUUCAGCAAAUUGGCACAUUUUUUAGAUAGAGGUGUGUGGUUUGUUUCAAGCACUUAUGUCCCCUACUAUGAAGAGGGACUUGAGGGAGAGACUGUACCCAUGUCUGCAUGUGUAAUUUGAUGAAUGCACCAUCUUGCCUUGGUCCCACUCUGUGUUUUCACAUCAUACCCAUGGUCUCUGAAAUGUCUCUCUGCCUUCUCUGCAGCCCCUUGACUGUGCCUCAGAUUGCAACUGAGAUGACUUGGCUCUUCCUGCUGAUUGCCAUGGAUCUGUGCUCUUUGUGGGGUGUCCACCUCCUGAGGGUUGGCUCUAAAUCAAGUGAGCAAGGGUCAGCCUGAGCUUGUGGAACUUGGUUACCUGUGAUGGCUACUUCCCUCCCUAAAUCGUGUUUCACCAUGACUGAGGAAGAGACUUGAAAGUAGAAGCUGGUUGGGAGCAAGAAAGGGUUAUAAUUCAAGAAAUUUGUGGUGCCCCCCCACCAAGUAACAAAAUAUGCCACGAUUCAUUAUCUGACCAUAAAAUCCAGAAGCAAAGGGCUUCCAGGGAUAGUCCCUGGGCUCUUCUAUCACCUUUAGCCAGGUACUGUCCAUCUUUUGGUUCAACCCUCCUUAGUGUAUUGACUUGGUUCUUUCUAAGGCUUGUGUCCCCAUGGUCUCAAAGUGGUUA
rnacentral:lncRNA from 1 species